rnacentral:rRNA from 1 species
AAGUCGUAACAAGGUUUCCGUAGGUGAACCUGCGGAAGGAUCAUUAAUGAAUUCUGAGUAGGCUCUGCCUCUCACCCUUCAUAUCCAUAAACACCUGUGCACAGUCGGACCCUUGAGUCUUUCGGGACUCCCGGUGUCUUGACGAUCUUAUCAAACAACAAUGUAACCAAUGUAAUCAUUAUUAUAACAUAAUAAAACUUUUAACAACGGAUCUCUUGGCUCUCGCAUCGAUGAAGAACGCAGCGAAAUGCGAUAAGUAAUGUGAAUUGCAGAAUUCAGUGAAUCAUCGAAUCUUUGAACGCACCUUGCACUCUUUGGUAUUCCGAAGAGUAUGCCUGUUUGAGUGUCAUGAAAUCUUCAACCAUUCUGUUGGGUGUUUACGCCUGGCGGUUUGGAUUGGACUUGGGUGUUUGUCGGACAAGCAAUUGUCUGACUCACCUUAAAAGGAUCAGUGGAUCUAUUGUCUUGGACUUUUGCAUUGCAAUUGGUUUGACUUGGCGUAAUAAGUAUUUCGCUAAGGACAGUGCUUCGGUGCUGGCCAUUGCUUUUCAACCGGACUUUGGAAAUCGCUUUCUAACCCUAAUUUUAUUUGACAUCUGGGCCUCAAAUCAGGUAGGACUACCCGCUGAACUUAAGCAUAUCAAUAAGCGGAGGAAAAGAAACUAACAAGGAUUCCCCUAGUAACGGCGAGUGAAGCGGGAAGAGCUCAAAUUUGAAAUCUAGUAGCCUUCGGCUGCUCGAGUUGUAAUCUAUAGAAAUGUUUUCCGUGCUGGCUCAUGUACAAGUCCCUUGGAACAGGGCGUCAUAGAGGGUGAGAAUCCCGUACUUGACAUGAAUUACCAGUGCUCUGUGAUACAUUUUCAAAGAGUCGAGUUGUUUGGGAAUGCAGCUCAAAAUGGGUGGUAAAUUCCAUCUAAAGCUAAAUAUUGGCGAGAGACCGAUAGCGAACAAGUACCGUGAGGGAAAGAUGAAAAGCACUUUGGAAAGAGAGUUAAACAGUAUGUGAAAUUGUUAAAAGGGAAACGAUUGAAGUCAAUCAUGUCCUUGGGUCUUACCACCCUUGGAUGGGGUCAACAUCAGUUUUGAUCGGUGGAUAAGGAUAGGAGGAAGGUAGCACUCUCGGGUGAACUUAUAGCCUCCUGUCGCAUACACUGGUUGAGACUGAGGUCUGCUAUUACAGGAUGUUGACAUAAUGGCUUUAAACGAC